rnacentral:rRNA from 1 species
UACGUAGGGGGCAAGCGUUGUCCGGAUUUAUUGGGCGUAAAGAGCGUGUAGGCGGCCAGACAGGUCCGUUGUGAAAACUCGAGGCUCAACCUCGAGACGCCGAUGGAAACCGUUUGGCUAGAGUCCGGAGGAGGAGAGUGGAAUUCCUGGUGUAGCGGUGAAAUGCGCAGAUAUCAGGAAGAACACCCGUGGCUAAGGCGGCUCUCUAGUACGGUACUGACGCUGAGACGCGAAAGCGUGGGGAGCGAACAGG